ACACCGUUGGUGAAGUGGUUAUCAUGCUUGCCUUCCAUUAUGGUUGGAGUAGUCAAAAUCCGUAGCAAGCGGCUCGGGUUCGAUUCCCGAACGGUGUA